CCGGAGAUUUCGUCGCCGUCCGGCCACCCCAGGACGAACCGUUUGGCAUGGCGUGAUCCUCUCCUCCUUCUCUACCUAGUCAUCUCGUUUUGAUCGGUGGAGGAAGAUUUGAAGGUGUUUGAGAAUGUGAACAGUACUGUGAACAGUAACUAUCGAAUUCUUGGGUUCUUGUUUGAUUUUUCUGGACAUUUCUACUUAAAUUUGGUUGUUGUUGCAGGUCGUACUGAUCCCUCGAGCGAGGAGGACACAGGCAGGCAGCAGGGUUAGCUGCGAGACUCACCUAUUUCAUAUUUGCCGAGAUCGCGUCCAGGAACUUGAGGCAUAGGAAUCAGCGCUUCCGUUUUGUCCGUAGGUUAUUACUUAACCUACCUUGUAUGAUAUCAGCUUAGUUGUGUAUAUCUGCUCUGAUAACCAAUUUACUUUGGAGAAUGUUAAUGUUUGAGAAGCUAUUAUCGUAGUGAAGUUAAGGUGACACUUGUGCUAUCGGAAUGUAACAUUUUCACUUGGAAUGUAAAUAUUGGAAUGUAUCUAGGAGUGGGAGGUUCUGUCGAUUUUUCGGUAGGAUUUCACUUAAAGUGGGUCCCACAGGCUCGUAUCCGGGUUUCGGGGUGA
rnacentral:lncRNA from 1 species